GGGCGUAUAGCUCAGCGGGAGAGCACUCGCCUCACACGCGAGGGGUCGCUGGUUCGAUCCCAGCUACGCCCA
rnacentral:tRNA from 1 species